rnacentral:rRNA from 1 species
UACGAAGGGGGGCUAGCGUUGUCCGGAAUUACUGGGCGUAAAGAGCUCGUAGGUGGUUUGUCGCGUUGUUCGUGAAAACUCACAGCUUAACUGUGGGCGUGCGGGCGAUACGGGCAGACUUGAGUACUGCAGGGGAGACUGGAAUUCCUGGUGUAGCGGUGGAAUGCGCAGAUAUCAGGAGGAACACCGGUGGCGAAGGCGGGUCUCUGGGCCGAUACUGACGCUGAGGAGCGAAAGCGUGGGGAGCGAACAGG